UGGUUAUUGACAGAAAAAAGGUAGCAUAAGGCCGGCCCUUUUAAUUGAAAACUUGUAUGAAAGAUUUGAUGAGAUAUAAACUGUCUCUUUUUUAAAAUUAGAAUUUAAUUUUUUAGUAAAAAAGCUAAAAUUAUUUUAAAAGACGAGAAGACCCUAUAGAGUUUUAUAAUUAAUUAAUUAAAAAUUUAUUUAAAAAUUAAAAAAUAAUUAAUUUUAAUAUUUUAUUGGGGUGAUAAAAAAAUUAAAAUAACUUUUUUUUAAUUUAAAUAAUUGAUGAAUAAUUGAUCCAUUUUUUGAUUAUAAGAAAAAAUUACCUUAGGGAUAACAGCGUAAUAUUUUUUUUUUUAGUUCUUAUAAAAAAAAAAGUUUGCGACCUCGAUGUUGGAUUAAGAUAAAAUUUAAAUGCAAAAGUUUAAAAUUUUGAUCUGUUCGAUCAUUAAAAU
rnacentral:rRNA from 1 species